rnacentral:rRNA from 1 species
AUGGAUGUCAGUGGUGUUGGAGGCCCGUUCUGCAACGUUGGCCUCCCCAAGGUCCUGCUGGUGACCUGGAAACGGAGAUGGGAGGGGGAAGGGGCUGCCUCGCUAGUGCCACCCUGGCUCGCCGCUCUGCCCUGGCUCGCCGCGCCGGCGGUGGCUUGCGCACCGGAACCAAGCGGGCGGGCGAGAGAGGAACGAACGAGCGAGAGAGGCGCUGGGGGCGGAAUGACGUUAGGGUUUCUGAUGGAUCGAUCGGAUCAGAGCUUUGAUCUGGCGAAAACGGUGCCGAACUGUAGGAUUGAAAUGGACGGUCGGGAUCCUAACCCUAAUGCGUUGUGGGCCGCUGGGCCGAAAGAAAAUGAGGCCGGCUGCGGCGGGGGGCAGCCACGCACGCUGGGCCGAGCCAAGCAGCUACGGGCGACGUCGUGCGACUGGGCCGUGCUGAGCCAAGGACGGCUGGGCUGCGUUCCGGAAGGGUCUAAAAUUCUUAAUUGA